GGCGGGACCGCACAAGCGGUGGAUGAUGUGGAUUAAUUCGAUGCAACGCGAAAACCUUACCUACCCUUGACAUGUCCGGAAUCCCGAAGAGAUUUGGGAGUGCUCGCAAGAGAACCGGAACACAGGUGCUGCAUGGCUGUCGUCAGCUCGUGUCGUGAGAUGUUGGGUUAAGUCCCGCAACGAGCGCAACCCUUGUCAUUAGUUGCCAUCAUUUGGUUGGGCACUCUAAUGAGACUGCCGGUGACAAACCGGAGGAAGGUGGGGAUGACGUCAAGUCCUCAUGGCCCUUAUGGGUAGGGCUUCACACGUAAUACAAUGGUCGGUACAGAGGGUUGCCAACCCGCGAGGGGGAGCCAAUCCCAGAAAACCGAUCGUAGUCCGGAUUGCAGUCUGCAACUCGACUGCAUGAAGUCGGAAUCGCUAGUAAUCGCGGAUCAGCAUGUCGCGGUGAAUACGUUCCCGGGCCUU
rnacentral:rRNA from 1 species